rnacentral:rRNA from 1 species
UGGGGAAUUUUGGACAAUGGGCGAAAGCCUGAUCCAGCAAUGCCGCGUGUGUGAAGAAGGCCUUCGGGUUGUAAAGCACUUUUGUCCGGAAAGAAAUCCUUGGCUCUAAUACAGUCGGGGGAUGACGGUACCGGAAGAAUAAGCACCGGCUAACUACGUGCCAGCAGCCGCGGUAAUACGUAGGGUGCAAGCGUUAAUCGGAAUUACUGGGCGUAAAGCGUGCGCAGGCGGUUUGCUAAGACCGAUGUGAAAUCCCGGGCUCAACCUGGGAACUGCAUUGGUGACUGGCAGGCUAGAGUAUGGCAGAGGGGGGUAGAAUUCCACGUGUAGCAGUGAAAUGCGUAGAGAUGUGGAGGAAUACCGAUGGCGAAGGCAGCCCCUGGGCCAAUACUGACGCUCAUGCACGAAAGCGUGGGGAGCAAACAGGAUUAGAUACCCUGGUAGUCCACGCCCUAAACGAUGUCAACUAGUUGUUGGGGAUUCAUUUCCUUAGUAACGUAGCUAACGCGUGAAGUUGACCGCCUGGGGAGUACGGUCGCAAGAUUAAAACUC